rnacentral:piRNA from 1 species
UGCCAAAUAAGCUCUAGUCUUGAACGUGGU